CUGGAGACAGGUGGUGCAUGGUUGUCGUCAGCUCGUGACGUGAGAUGUUGGGUUAAGUCCCGCAACGAGCGCAACCCUUAUCCUUAGUAGCCAGCAGGGAAAGCUGGGCACUCUAGGGAGACUGCCAGGGAUAACCUGGAGGAAGGUGGGGAUGACGUCAAAUCAUCAUGCCCCUUAUGAUUUGGGCUACACACGUGCUACAAUGGCGUAAACAAAGGGAAGCGAAGUGGCGACAUGGAGCGAACCCCAAAAAUAACGUCUCAGUUCGGAUUGCAGGCUGCAACCCGCCUGCAUGAAGCCGGAAUCGCUAGUAAUCGCAGAUCAGAAUGCUGCGGUGAAUACGUUCCCGGGUCUUGUACACACCGCCCGUCACACCAUGGGAGUCGAUAACGCCCGAAGUCAGUGACCCAACCGAAAGGAGGGAGCUGCCGAAGGCGGGAUGGAUAACUGGGGUGAAGUCGUAACAAGGUAGCCGUAUCGGAAGGUGCGGUUGGAUCACCUC
rnacentral:rRNA from 1 species